UUAGUUUAGGUGUGCUUGCAAAGAUUCAAUCUCUUCUCCACCGUUUUCGACCCAUUCCAAAAUCAGGUUAUUGAAUUUGUUAAGAGACAUGUUAGUGCAUACACACCUCUCUUAGCCGGAAAUUCAAUAUAUGUUGAUUUUCAAUUUCUGAAGGCUGUGCGAGGGCGGAGAAUUACUUGACAGAAUUCUAGAUAAGUAAAUUUGAAAGGCUAUUUUUCAUUUGUACCAUUCGUAGUUUUGUACUUUUGUGGUCAACAC